rnacentral:rRNA from 1 species
UACGUAGGAGGCGAGCGUUGUCCGGAAUUACUGGGCGUAAAGCGCGUGUAGGCGGUCCGGUAAGUCCGCUGUGAAAGUCGAGGGCUCAACCCUCGAAUGCCGGUGGAUACUGUCGGGCUUGAGUACGGGAGAGGCGAGUGGAAUUCCUGGUGUAGCGGUGAAAUGCGCAGAUAUCAGGAGGAACACCGGUGGCGAAGGCGGGUCUCUGGGCCGAUACUGACGCUGAGGAGCGAAAGCAUGGGUAGCGAACAGG